UGCACAUUGCUCUAAUUUGAGGGGAGAAAGGACUGAGUUGGGAAAAGGGACUAGUUAGGCCAAGUUGGUUGAAGUCCUUGGGUGGCCUAAGUUACAGGCCAGCUCUAAGAGGAGAGCUGGGACUCCUGAUCCAAAGAGAGGGUGAUCAUUUACAACCCAGCUUCGGGAGGAGGGCUAUCAUACUCCUGAAUAUGAGGGAAGGAAACAGGAGGAAAUGCUCUUGCCUUGUAGACCAGAUACACAGAACAUGGAUGAAUGGCUGAACAUGUAUGCUGCCUUUUCAGAUAGUGACCUUGGAUGGACUGACAGCAUUAGCAGGACUAUACAAGACACUAUUACAAUAUAUGAAUUCAGUCCUGCAAACACUUAGAGGAGGACAUCCUACUAAUGUACAUUGAACUAAUGCGAGGAAAUUGGAGACUGUAACUGAUCAUCCUACUCCUGAUGGUAAA